rnacentral:misc_RNA from 1 species
GUCACUAGUCUUCUGGAGGGCAAUAUGUCCAUCUCGUGGGAUAAGAAAGCGUGUCAAUUAUUAGUGCUUCAAUUUUUUGGCGAGCACAGGCGAUCGAAUGGCAUCCACGUCAAGCUAGCCGCGCGAAAUUAAUCCUCCUGGUGAAAAUGAGCUUCUCCGUGAAGAAGACCGGCGGCAGAAUGUGGCAUGAGGCACGCAAGCAGGAAAAGAAGAUUCGUGGCAUGCUGGUCGAUUAUCGUCGUAGAGCGGAACGUAGACGGGACUACUAUGAGAAAAUUAAGUCUGAUCCUACGCAAUUUCUCCAACUACACGGCAGACCAUGCAAGAUAUAUUUGGAUCCGGCAAUAGCUGCCGCAGGUGCUAGUCCCGCAAACAUGAUGCCAUGGCAGAACAAUGAUGACAAUCUCAUAGAUCGUUUCGAUGUACGAGCACACCUAGAUUGGAUACCAGAGGCACCGGAUACUAUUGAUGUUGAUAUUGCUCUGACAAGUGAAGAUAGACAUAUCAAUUAUGAACGCUAUCGUAUAAUUGUACAAAAUGAAUUUCUGGGUGUGACUGAAGAAAAGUUUCUUCAUCAGAUACAUGUGGAAGAACAAUUUGGUUCAUCCACAAAAGUGGAUGCUGCAAAGGAUAAGAAAAAAUCUGCCAAUAAUGCUGCAAUCGGGUAUAAUUAUGAAACAGAAGAACCGAUACCCGAGCCAGUAAAAUCGGGAGAUCCAGUAAUAUCAGAGGAAAAGGGAGAUGACGAAGAUAGCGAUAUAGAUUUAGAUAUAUGUGUGGACGUAUCUCAGAUAGAACCAUCUCAGGCACAUGAAAUGAAUCUGGUAGCUCAAAAAUAUGGACUUUUAGGUGCUGAUUAUUUUAGCUUUUUAACACAAGACUUUGAAGAAGCUGAAACCUUGCGACAAGCUCGAAAGCAGGAAGAGGAAAAAGCUAUGUAUUCGGGUCGACGAUCACGUAGAGAACGGCGUGCGUUUAGAGAAAAAAAAAUGAUAGGUCGUGUUAUGAGUCCUCCUAGUUAUGCAGCUAGAGAGAGUCCAGAGUACAAUCCUUAUAGAAAAUCCUCUUCCAAGUCGCGAUCGCGAUCCGCAUCGCCUGUAAAUACCGGACAGAUUACUUAUAUCACGAGCUUUGGUGGGGAAGAAGAAACUCAUGGUAGCACAUCACAUGUGUCUUCGUCGAAUUCGAGAAAAGUCAAUUAUUCAUAUCUCAGACGACGAAGAUCGGAUAGUCCUGCUUUUAACGAGAGAUCCAUUAAUAGGAAAAUAUCCAAAUCUAGAUCAAGAAGUUGUUCACGCUCCAUUAGUAGGAUUAAAUCUUAUAGAACACAUGAUAAAAAGCGAAGUAGAUCCCGAAUAAGUUCUAGAUCUAGAGGCACGCGUUCAAGAGCUCGAAAGUACACAAGAUCACGAACAAGAAGUCAUUCUAGACGAUCACGAACGCGAAGCAAGUCACGCUCGCGCUGCAAAAGUAUCAGUAGAUCUCGAUCGCGUUCAAUUUCUCGAUCGAAGACUAGGUCCAGAUCUCGUUCGCGUUUGAAGAAGUCGAGGAGCUCAUCCUCGAGCAGUGUGUCCAAAUCGAGAUCCAGAUCUAAAUCACGCAACAGGAGCCGUUCAAGGGACAGCUAUCGAAAGAAACGCUAUUCGCCGUCAAAAUCGAGAUCCAAAUCUCGUUCCAGAUCAAAAUCUCCAUCGAGAUCUAGGUCAAGGUCAAGGAGUCAGUCUAGUUGUAAACGAUCGCGCAGCGACGAUAAUAAGAUACCAACACUGCCAAGGUAUUAUGGUCGACGCGGAAAAUCAUCAAGCCUCGAACUAGAGCUAUCUGAUAAUGAAGAAAAAUCCAAUUCAACAACACCGAAAACACCGAUUAACACAAGCAUGAACAAGCCAAAAGCAGGGUUAAGUACAAAUUCUGGUGUCGGACACAAAGUCAUCAUUGAAAAUCACACCUCAGGAGCGGCUUAAAAAGAAGAUGCAGGCCUUAUUAAACAGGCAAUAUAAGGCAGACAAAAAGGCAGAACAGUUGAGAAUCGAGAAGAUGGAGCAACAAAGACAGGAUCGAGAAGAUGAGAUACGAGAAAUGUCUUUGAAACUUCGUAGAAAGCAGAGAGAACGAAGGCAUCGUUAUGAAGGCCAUAGUUCUGACACGCGCUCUUCUAUAUCUCGUACACCGAGCCCGAACCGUAG